UACGUAGGUGACGAGCGUUGUCCGGAUUUACUGGGCGUAAAGAGCUCGUAGGCGGCCAACUAAGUCAGACGUGAAAUCCCUCGGCUUAACCGGGGAACUGCGUCUGAUACUGGAUGGCUUGAGGUUGGGAGAGGGAUGCGGAAUUCCAGGUGUAGCGGUGAAAUGCGUAGAUAUCUGGAGGAACACCGGUGGCGAAGGCGGCAUCCUGGACCAAUUCUGACGCUGAGGAGCGAAAGCCAGGGGAGCAAACGGG
rnacentral:rRNA from 1 species